UGCCAAUGUGGCUAACUUGUUGAAUAUAAGAGAUACUGAAAUGAGUAGCUUUCUUGUAGCAAUGGGUGAUAUUUCCCUGAGGAAAACUGGAGUGGAG